UGACNGUGCAAAGGUAGCAUAAUCGUUAGUUUUUUAAUUGGAAUCUUGUAUGAAUGGUUUGACAAAAGAAAAUCUGUCUUUAUAAUUAUUUAUUGAAUUUAACUUUUAAGUGAAAAGGCUUAAAUAAGUUAAAAAGACGAUAAGACCCUAUAAAGCUUAAUAUUAAUUUUUAUUUAAUAAAAUUUUAAAUAAUAUAAAUAUUUAGUAGAAAAUUUUUUAUUUUAUUGGGGCGAUAAUAAUAAAAUGAUUAUUAACUGUUAAUAAAAUUUAAACAAAAAUAAAUGAAUAAAAGUAUAAAUUAAAUGAUCCUUUUUGAAGAUUAAAAGUUUAAGUUACUUUAGGG
rnacentral:rRNA from 1 species